GCCUAAAAUCACUCAUCUCUUCAAAGUCCCUGGCAUGAGCUACCCAUCACUGUCUUAUGCUCAGUGACCCAGGACCACCUAUGAGCAUCUGGGCCCAAGAGAUGAUCUCAAACUUUUCACAAUUAUUUCAGGUAUCAACAAGAUGGAAAUAAAGCCAAAAGCUGUGCUGAGAUUCAACCAUCAACAUCCCAAAAGGAAUAUUCUGUUUCCCAGCAUUUCUUGCCAAGGAUGAUCUCAGAUUCGUCUGUUUCCAUUCACUAAUAACAACAACAGCAAUGACAACAAUGCUAAUAGCGCUCCAACAGAGCUUGCUGUGUGCCCAGCCCUGUUCGAAGUGCUCCCCAACUUUGGCCCCUAGGAUGCUCAGGACGGCCCUCUGAGCAGGCACUGAUGUCGUCCCCCUCACAUGCAGAGAAACCAAGACAUGAGCGUGGUCAGGUCGUUCGUGCAGAGCCACCGGGCUGGGGAUGGGCAGAGCUGGAGUGUGUGGGCACAGGAUCGGGGUUUGUCACCACUGUGCUGCACUGCCUCUGCACCCCAACUAGGCCUCACGCUGAUGGAGACAUCGCAGUGCAUGGGAGAACAUUCACUGCGUGGUGCUGAGGACGCAGCAGGCACUCGGUACAACCUGUUCCUUGCGUGGCCCGCUAGCUUUGGGUCCCAAAAUAAUCUGCCUCCUGAAUCUGCAACUUUCUCCCCACCUGCUGGGCAUUCUCUUAAUUCAACCGAAGCCUCUCCCUGUCCCCAUUAGGACGGCCACUCCCAACAGGAGUUCCCGGCCUGUGAAGGCCAACCGGUCGGGGCUCAGCACCCCAUUAUCAUUCUGCCACUUUCCAAAGGAAAUUAUAAGCACUUUGUGUCAACCCUCAUCUGUCCCGGCAGCCGCACCGCAGGAAAGCGAUUGAGGUCAGAGAAGGCAGACAGCCUACCCAUCACACCCGCCGCGGCCAUUCCUCAUGUAGUGACAUGCAAUCUCCCGCCAAGGGUCACCUCUGGGGAAGCGAUUCCUUCAAGCCUAGAACAAGUGCCGAAUUGCAGCUUUGCCGAAUGAUCAUGUGGAACACAUUGAAAAUAGCCGCCUCAGUAAUAAAUGCUUAACCAAAGCAGCCCCUUCCUCCGGCAUAACCAGGAGCAUAUUUACUGUAAAUAUGUUAACCAAUUCAUGCUGCAGCACAUGGCCGAGGAGUCAGCUUCCCAGGCAGCAAAGAGCAAACCCCCGCUGGGCUGAGAAGGAGCAAGCCGCAAAGGAGAGGAUUGUGUCCGCCAGGAAAAGGAAGAGGCAGGAAAAGGCACCUGGGACAGAGGAGCCUCCUGCAGGCCCCACAGCCCCACCCGACAGAGGAGUGGCGAGAAGGGGACUUGGCAUUCUGCAUCUUGCCGUCACCUCUGUGCCCCACGGAAUCUGUGAGUUAAGACUGGCUCCAAGAGAA
ensembl:lncRNA LINC02554 long intergenic non-protein coding RNA 2554